AGCUGCUUUAAUAAGUGGACAGCUGCACGGGGCACACUUAUUUUGGGGGCCCAUGGCUGACUUGUAAUGUUUUUUGCCUUUAUUUAUUAAAUAAGUACUUGGUGCUGGCUCCCUCCCCUGGCCGAUCCACUUACAUUUCGCACCCACCCCCCCCCAACCCGGUGAAGUGGAAACGGCCAGAGGAGGAAAGGAAGCUCUGCCUGCAACUGCCUCAGUCUGCAGAGAGGGAGCUGGAAGAGGAGUAGAGUGGUGCGUCACACGCAGGUGCCUCGCUGGUCUGUAGCUGCUGCUCAAGUUUAGCAAAUCCUCCUGAUGUCGGCGCUUGUUGUACCCAGCUGUCACACUCGCACACCAUGACUCUGCUCGGCCCCAGCCUCUCCAGGAAUCCACCAGACACCUUCACUGAAUCUAGAUCUCAAUAUGGAUAGCAUUCCCAGAGAGGUGUAUGGUGCCAUGGAGAAACUGCAGCGGCUGGUGGGGCGAACAAAAGGGGCGGGCCGUGAUGUCAAAAGGGACGGGCCACAUCGCGGAGAAUCAUAGACUGAGGGGGGAAAAAGCUCUGGAGGAAGUCGUCUUAGAAGAGGAUGGGAGACAGGAAGUCCAGCCAUUGCCUCAUUUGGCAGCUCCUAAGGAACGACUAAACACCUGGAUCAGAAGACCCAACCACUAAACAAAUUAUGUAACUUCUGAAUGAGAUACACAAUCCCCAGGAAAGGCCCGGUGCCCUGCUGCAGAAUCCAUGCAUCCCUUUUUCUUCCGUGCUGACGAAAAUGACGAGGUCUGAAUUAUGGUGAUUUGAGGGAGGAGUUGACCGAUGCAUCCCUCCUUUUCCCAUGCCAACGCCUGCUUGUGCUGGGAUUCAUUUUCUCCAAGGACACAUUAGAAACAAUUGCUUUGCGAUGGGGGAAUUGCUGGAGAUUGGCAAUUAAUGGGAUGGAUGUGGAGAACUGUUGCCUUUCUGUACUGAAUUUCGGGUCCCAUAGUGAAUAGUCAGUGAAAUGUGGAGUAUUUUCUUCCACCCAAGGGAACCACUAUAUUGCACAGACCAAUGGUUUAUACCAUUUAGUGCAGAUUUGUUUCCACACUCUAGUUUAAAGCUGCUAUUUUCACCUGCUACCCUUGGGGGAGGGGGCUCAACCCCAUCCACUUGAAUAGUCAAGUCUUAUUUCUGGAUUUUCACAUAUCUGAAGCACUACUGUUUGAUAUGAUGUUUUUUUUUUUUUAACAGCUGCAAAAGUUAAGGAUUAUGGAUUUUUUUAGCUCAAAAAUGGUCAAUGAAAGAUAUGUUAUUGAAGCUGUAUCCAAACUCAAGUCUUUCUAGGGGAAAUUCCUGAAAGAAUCGACUGAACCCAGUACAUUGUCAGGCACAUUGUGCAGCUCUGUAAUGAUACCAGUUCAGGCUGCAAUCAGUCCGGCUUCAUACAAGGCAUAUGGAGGUUGUUUUUAAAUGAGUAGUAGCAGAAGACUUAGACCUAAGCAGUGGAUAAAAAUGAUAUACUGACGAGCAUUACAUGAGCAGAAGCAUAUUUAUUUUAUAUUUGAAAGUAGUACACAUUCAAGUUUUGAGGAAUUUGCACCUUGCCCUUCUCUCUGCUUAAAGGGCCAUAUGACCGUGUACAAUGUCUGUGUCCUGGAUAAUUUUUCACUUUAACUUUUUUAGAUUUCAUGAUGUUGGCAGUUUUUUAAUUCAUGCAUAUAUCUUGAAUGUGUAACCUUUGGUGCCUCCUGUUGUUUGACCCAUGCAAAGCUGCAAAAGCUUAAAGGAUCAGUAACAUCAAUUUUUUAAAAAAAAUUGGUUAGUAUAGAACGAAAAAAAACCACAAAGACAUAUUUAAACUUUUAAAUCACUAAGUCUUUAGUAUUAAAAAAUAAUUUACCCAAACUGCGAUUGAGCUCCUCUUCAGAAAAGUCAACACGCCCACAAUGCAUCAUACGGCGCUUGAAGUGGAGUUUCGGUUAGUUAUUUCUUAAUAAAGAGUUAGCGAUUUAAAA